CGGGUGGGCUCUGCCCGAGCGGAGCCCGGAACCCCGUGCCCGGCCGCCGCCGCCAUCUUCCGUUUCCCUAGCUACCCCCGCGAGCAGGGGCAACGCCGAUCCCUGGGGAAGAAUGGGAACCUGGAGCUUCCUCCCAGCACCCUUGGGUGCACCCGCCACCUCCUGAACCCCGAAUCUCUCCAGAGACACUUGGGCCUCGCCGCGCGGUUCCAGCUGAAUAAAAGUCCCCUCUGCCACCAAGACAGUCGGGGGCUGCCCCUCGUCGGUUUCCCCACCCCCAGCCCCACUCCGAGGACCGUACCUCUCCCGCCUCCGCCAGGGCCGUCGGGUCCCCUCAGCUCUCCUGACGGCGGCGUUCAGUUUCUGGCCCACCCCCACCCCCAUCCGGCGCACACGGAAGAGAAGAGCAUUUUCCGGGAGGUUCAGCUCCGCUCUGAGAACUUUUCGUUCAGAAAGAGCGAUCCCCUUCGGCUAACAGGAAACUGGGAAGGGCGUGGAGAAAGCGCAGAAACAAGAGACUACACGCAGCCCAAGACGACAGAACGCACAAGAAGUGUCUAAGCUGAAGCGCUAACCGAGAUUGCCUGGAAGAAAACAAUACACUCGAGCCAUGCGAACACCAGUACCCGAGACAAAAAGCCUUGGAAGUCCUGGCAGAGCCACUCCCUAGCCCGGACUAGAGCAGGAGGAAGUGGGAUCAACAGGCUGUAGCCACCGCGCACAACUCCCCUGCAAGCUGGCUGCGCGGGCACUUGGGAACCGCGGACUGGCAGCGGGUUGUGCACGCUCAACGUCAAAGAAGCCUCACAGGUGUGAGGGGGCUGCGGUGAGGGGGCUGCGAGAGAAGACAUUAAAACGACAGAUCCCUCUUGUCAUCCAAAGAGAACACCAAACUGGUGUUAGCUAUAUUUUUAAAUAGGACAAAAAGUCCCUGCCAGACUGUGGAGUCUCUCCACCUGGAGAAAGCAUUCAAUCUCUGUUAUGUUCAUGCCUUUCAGUACCAUUCCUUUCGUAUUUUUUCAGUUGACAUGACCUUUAAGGUUCCUCCAAACUAAGGUUCUAAUUUUUUUUUUUAACUUGCAGUCUUACUCCCAACAAGAAAUUUGAUAUAUUAGAGCUAACAGUUCUAAGAAGUUUUAAGAAAUAGUAUGCAAUCCCAAUACUGGACAUCACACUGUAAAUUAAAUUCAUUAAAAUGUAAAAUGUGUUUAGUUCAAAUAUUUAAAGACAGGAGACUGCUGCUAUGUAAUAAUAACAGAGAGGCUAUUUCUGCAGCUUCUGUUGUCUCCUUUAGGAAAGGAAGGAGUUGGGCAAAAUGAAUUUUAAGAACGCUUAGAACUCUACAAAUAUGUAAUUCUUUAUCUACAAAGAACAUAUUUCUGGAAAUUCUUAAAAGAGAAAAAUAAUCAAAAUAAUGGCCUUCAUUCCCACCUGUUUGGUCAUGGACAAGUCCAAUAUUUUGGAAAUGUAGACAAGGACACCUAGUAAAGGGUCUUUUGAAAGAAUAAACUUAGUUUAGUCUUCUCCUUUAAUGUAAAGAAACUAAGGCCCCAACUGACAAACUGAGACCAAAGUCAAAAUCAUGCGGUUAGUAUUCUAAUGUUCUAUUCACUUUAUCACACUGUAUAACAAAAGUCUGUCAGUUACCAUAUACUUCUAUUCAUACAUUAUGUGUUUUAUAUAGCAACAUUUUCCAGAAUCCAGGCAGCGAGUGAUUAAACUGAAAGGCAUUAUCUAAUGCCCAGCCUGAUUUUGUGAUUUUAACAGGUCAGAUUACGCAUCUCACUCUUUGAUUUGAACACUGAUUGCUUAAAGAUACUUAAAAAGUUUCAUAUCCCAGAGCUGAGCCAUUUAAUACCUCAAAGUAAAGGUAUUCCUUUCUCAUAAAGAUUUAACCUCAGAGCCAGCUUUGCACUUCUGCAAUCACCUCUUCUGAAGAGCCAGUUUCAACGAAUCCAUUAUUUAAGAUACCUGACUUACUAGCCUCUUCUCGGUCUUAUCUGUAAAUUAGAAGUUUUUAGAAUGAAUAUCUAAUUUGUGCACUGUGUACCUGCAAUGUACUUCACCUUCCUCAAGAGUAUUACAAGGUCAAGGUCUCAAUCUUUCCAACCAUUUCAACCAUGUAGCUCAAAAUAGCAACUGAAACAAUUUCAAAUAUGUGGUAUCUUACAUUAUUUAUUUGAUUUAUAAGAAUUCCUUGAUCUUUUCCUUACUUAGUGAUUUCAGAUUUUUCAGUAAUUGCUUAGAUGCAUCUUACAUUUUUAUUGUUACUUUGAAAUCUCUGUUCAGAACAUGUGACAAACACACUAUUAAAGACUUCAACAUAAGCUGUGUAGACACUGCAUUUAGGGUGAAAUGGAAAUAGGUGGUAGCUACCCCUAAAUUAGGUUUUUACUUAAUAGAGAUCCUGGCCCAUUAAAACAAAGAACACCUAUUAGACUGAAGAUGUGUAAGUCACAGCCAAAUUUCAUGUCAACUUUAUGAAUAUUCGUGUAUUAUUUUCUACAGAGGUAUUUUGAAUUGUAUUUUUACUGAUCACUACUCAUAACAAAAGGGGUUUUAUACCCAUUGGCAACUUUCAAAUCUCACAUAUUCUAUGGCUUUAUCUUAAAUAUUACGCCAUAAAUACGCAGAAUGUUACAUUUUAUAUCCUGAAGAGUUCAAAGUGUUCUAGGACUUGUGUUCCUAAUCAAUAAGGAACCAUGCAAAGAAUACUGCAGGUUGACCAAGUACAGGCAUUGAGAAGCUGCCUUAAUUAAAACUUAAGAACACGCUAUUUGCUACAUAUUAAGAAUUUAACAUUCGAAACUUUUAACCUAUUACCAUUUCCUUAGUUGUUACCUGAAUGAAAAAGAUUUGGGGAUUAACUGUGAUAUUAACUGCAUAUACAUAUGGUCAUCCUCGUAUCUGAGGCAAAAACCUUUCAUCAUCUAGACCUAAUGCAAAGAUGUUUAUAACCUCUCAUUUACAUUUUGGCCCUAUCCUUUGAAACUCUUUCCUUCCUAAUUUUCCUUUCGACCUGGAUAGUUUUAUCAGCGCUAACUAGUAUAAAACCAUUUCAAAAUAAAGCAAAUUUUUUUUCUUUUUUUAGAGACAAAGUCUUGCUCUUUUGCCCAGGCUGGAGUGCAAUGGCCAAUCACAGCUCACUGCGUCCUUAAACUCUGGGCUCAAAGGCUCCUCUGGCAUCAGCCUCCCAGGGUAGUCACAGGAUACCUGGGACUACAGACAUGCAUCACCAGUCCUAGCUAGUUUUGUUGUGGUUGUUGUUAUUUAGACAUCAUCUCCCCCUGGUCAUCUUCCCCAGGAUGGUCUCAAACUCCUGGCCUCAAGAGAUCCUCCCACUUCGGCCUCCCAAAGUGUUGGGAUUACAGGCAUGAGCCACAGCACCAAAAGCAAAUUUUAAUAAGUGUACUCUAGCAUCCCCCAACUAAGGACUACUUUGUAAAUACUUCCACAUUUUUGAAGUGUUGGCUAGAAUUCUAACUACCUAUUUUCCCCCCAGUAAGGCUUGUUUGGCUAAAUAUCUUUCUACCCAUCCAUGCCCACCACUAAAGUAUUUUUUAAUUGAUUAGAAAUUUAGUUUAUGCCUCUAUUUCCACUGAAAUUUGAUUGCAUUUCAAAGCUAGCAUUAAAGAAAAUACACAGAAACUUAGAAUGCUAAAAUUUAUCUUCUUUAGGCCCAAUGACUUCCCCAGAAUGCUAAGGCUGAUCGUUUAUUUAAAUGGUUCGCUUAACUAACUUCAGUUCAUCUCCCAAUCGUGUCGUAAAGUUCAGCAACAGCUCAACAUGGCUGCGUUUUAAGAAAGAAGUGCUGGGGCGGGCGCAGUGGCUCACUCCUGUAAUCCCAAAACUUUGGGAGGCCAAGGCGAACGGAUCACGAGGUCAGGAGAUCGAGACCAUCCUGGCUAACAAGGUGAAACCCCGUGUCUACUAAAAAUACAAAGAAUUAGCCAGGCAUGGUGGCACGCGCCUGUAAUCCCAGCUACUUGGGAGGCUGAGGCAGGAGAAUCCAGGAGGCGGAGGUUGCAGUGAGCCAAGAUGGCGCCACUGCACUCCAGCCUGGGCAACAGAGUGAGUCUGUCUCAAAAAAAAAAGAAGAAGAAAAAGAAAAAAAAGAAAGAAGUGCUGUUCUCUUUACUGUUUGUCAGCAUCAAUUCCUGAUACUGUGUUUACUCUUCUGCCUGAAUAGUUCCACGCAGAAUCACACCAUCAUGUUUUAGGUUCCAUCAAAAAUGAAUGAGGAGAGGCCAGGUGCAGUGGCUCAUGCCAGUAAUCCCAGCACGUUAGGAGGCUGAGGUGGGCAGAUCGCUUGAGCCCAGGAGUUCAAGGCCAGUCUGGGCAACAUAUCUAGAACUAUAGGUGCGCACCACCACGCCCAUCUAUACAAGAAAAUGCCAAAAUUAGCCCGGCAUGGGGGCAAGCACCUAUAGGUCCCAGCUACUCGGGAGGCUGAGGUAGGAGAAUUGCUUGAGCCCAGGAGGCAAAGGUUGCAGUGAGCUGAGAAUCAGGCCCCUGCACUCCAGCCUGGGUGACACAGUGAGACACUGCCUCAAACAAUGAGGAGAGUAAAUGGUUACAUGCAUGCUAUUGUUAUAUGUACAUGCCCUUAUGUUAUCCCAUAAGGGAUAAUGCAACAGGAUCUGUUCAUUAUUGAACAGAAUGAAUAUUAAGCGUAUUCAAUAUUGUUCAGUAUUGAACAUUCCUUUUCAUAAAUGUAAAUGAGCAUACUUUUAUGGUAAAGCAUUAAGUUGCCUAUAUUUGAAUUUAAAAAGCAAAUUUUACAUAACUCUGACCUGUAAUCCUAGCUCUUUGGGAUGCCAUGUCAGGAGGAUCUCUUAAGGCCACAAGUUUGAGACCAGCCUGGGCAGAUCCCACCUCUACAAAAAAAAUCCAAAAUGAGCCCAGCAUGGUGGCAUGUGCCUGUAGUCCUAGCUACUCAGGAGGCUGAGACGGGAGGAUCCCUCCUGGCUGCAGUGAGCUACGAUCAUACCACUGCACUCCAGCCUGGGCAACACAGCAAGCCCCUGUCUCAAAAAAAACAAAACAAAAAAGUUUUUAAAUUAAAAAAAAACUUUGAAAUGGAGUCCAAGUCAAAGCAGGUAUUCCUAACCUGAGGUCUUUGAGGAUCCACAGAUUGGUCUUAAAGAAAUCUGUGGUACUCUUGAAAUUGUAUUAAAAUGUUUUACAUAUAUAUAUACACACACACAUCAAUACAUAUAUAAAGCAUAUGUAUGUAACAUAUAUGUCACAUAAGUGCAUGUUUGAGGGAAAAAGGGUCCAUAGCUUUGAUCAGAUUCUUAAAGGGAUUGCUGACCCCAAAAAAGGUCACAAAUCCCCAAUUUUGAUGGAUUUUGUGUCCCUUCAAAACAUAUUUAAUCUGUCUCUCCACCCCCUUUUCCCCUUGCUCCAAAUGCCUGAAAGGUUUAACAUUUAAACACUACUUUUUUCCCUAAUGUAUCCCACAUUUAUCUUUAUAUGCCACUUUUUAGUAAUUUGGAUAAAUUGUCUUUUUUAAGAAGUUAAAUGAAAAUUCCCUUCAUUAGUUCUUCGAUGGACUUGGUGAUAUCUGUACGACCACAGGGUUUAGAAUAAAGUCGCUUGUAAAAAGUAUUAUUUUAUGCCACAUAGCCAUGAUCUCUGAAUGUAUUUUUUGUGACUUUCUGAUUGUAAACCAUUAACAUAUACGAAACAAGACAUUCUGUUUAGUUAAGAACGUUAGCUUUCUGAGGUCAAGGAUCUGUUUCUCUGUUGUUGGUAACUGCUAUCCAACAGUCCCGGAACAUAAUAGGUGCGGAAUGAAAAUAGGUGCAGAGCAAAUGAAAAGGCCUUCAGUGUUUAAAGAAAAUAAACCUAAUUUUUAAAAGAUGGCUCUGCAGUCUGAAUAAAGUAUUGUAGUCCAUUCACACAUUUAUGUUAGGGCUCUAGUUUUAGAGGCUCCAGUGCUAAGACUGGAAACUGAAUAUUUUCUGUGGAAAAUAAAUGAGCAUUUUACUUGUCACUUUUGAGAAGAAAAAAAAAUUAUCUAAUUUUCUAAAUGUUAAGUAGUUCCGACAUCAGCAGCCUAAAGCAAAACACAUACACCCGGAUAUUUCCAUUGUGAUUGGUGUUGGCUUAAAGUAUGCAGGUUCCUACAGGAAAGUUUAAAAGUAAAGUCACUGAAUUUAGUUCUCAAUGAUCUUUGAUUUAAACUUCAAAACUGGAUUGUAUUUUUAAUUUGGAGACUAGCUUAAGCCCCUGUGAUAACCACAAUGGAAGAAACAAGAGCAGAUGGGCAACCUGACGACAUGUUCAAAUUCACGAAAGCAAAGACAGCUGCAGAUGCAGAGGGAUCAGAGUCGAAGGACGCUUCUGAAAGGUCAGGAAUCAGGCCGAGAAACGUACUCUGGGCAAAGGAGGUACUCUGGGCAAAGGAGCUGAGAGCGUAUAUACUAGAAAAGAAAAAGGACAGCCAACCCUGGCACCUGACCUAGCGGCUCUCAACAGGCAGAGGGCCGGCCUGAGCAGACUCGGAGAGUCCCUGGGAAAACAGCAUCCGAACACGUUGACCGGAACAUGGGUGAGGCCAGAAAUUUCGGACGGGGCUUUUCAGACUGGCUCACAAUGUCAACCAAGAAGGAGUAGCAAAUAUCGAGGCAGGGCGUGGAGAGUCAAAAUUCGACGCCAGGGAAAAGGCAGCCCACACAGGCUUCCAGAGCUCUGAGUGAGAGGGGGAUUCCGGGGUGGAAUCCCUGGAGGGAUGUGAGACGGUUCUGUUUGAAUCGGAAGAGAGAAGGAAGUUGAGGGAGUUUGAGGGAACAAAUCCAAAGCCCCCUGGUCUCUUCCUCCUUAUCCUCGCACACUUAAGACACGCACACACACUACUCUUGGUUCCUAAAAUUACUCAACCUCCGCGUUGCGUGUGCAGCGAAAUCCCAGGCGAAAGCGAAGUCAGCUUUCUGCUUCGUCCCCGGCAAAACCCGUUGCACCCUCCAGACGCCCAAGCUUUAGCGGCUGGCAGGAGUCGGAGGCGUGGUUCUGGGCUCCGCGCCGCGCUCAGCCUCUCCAGGCGCGUGUCCCCGGGAACCUGCGCGCCCAGGUGACGACCAGGGCGCGGUCUCGACAGGGAAAACCGGGCUCCUCAGACUCCCCACGCUGACCGCGCAGCCUGGCUUCUCCUCUCCCCCGCCUACAUUCCACGGUCUCAAAGCAAGUGAAAAGUUGAGGAGUCGGUGAAGCCGGGAAACGGUCCUCGCAGGGCCGUCGCCAGCGGUUUGCCAGCGGUUCCUCGGGGAGAGCCUCGAUCAGCCGGACAAAGGCGCUCCAGGCGGCGCGCGAGGAGGAGCCCGGGCGGCGGAGGAAGCGCUAACCCGGCUGGGAAGCAGCUGGGGACCUCAUCCCGGG
rnacentral:lncRNA from 10 species